rnacentral:lncRNA from 1 species
CAGAUGGAUGCUCGUCGCCGGUGAAGGGCCUAACGAGGGCGCCGCCGCUCGCCCAGCCGCCGCCAGGAAGCCACGAGACGAGAGAGCGAGGUGGACGGGCAGUGGGAGGCGAACGGGAGAGCCGGAGAGGUAGGUCUAGCAGGAGCUCGGCCAGCCCAUGUAGGCCCAGCGGGGAAGAGCCCAGCUCGUGGCAAAGAACCAGCCCCCCUUCCUUUUUUUAUUUUUUUAUUUUUUGCUAUAUACUCUCCUUUUUCUUGUAAAUCUUGGUGGCUAGUUUGAGUUAUUAAUAAAACUAGGAAAUGUGUCUGUGUGUUGCUAUGGAUAAAUACCAGAUUAUUCGAGUCAAUAUUAUACCUAUGUUUAAUUUUUUAUAUAUAACAAUUAAAAUUGUGAUAGUUUGUUGUGAAGUUACCUAGAUGAUUUGUGUCUCGGAAGAUUUAUCCAAUCGUCCCUUAACUUUCAAAAUGACUUUAUUUCUCAAAGUUUAUUUUGUUUGGCUUAGUUUCAUCAUAAGUCUAUCAAGGUGACUGUUUUGGUUUUCAACUUUAUAUUUUAGACUCGAUUUCAUCCAUAAAUUAUCAAAGUAUAUUUCAGUCUUCAAACUUUUAUUUUUGGUUCAUCUUCAUCUCUUGUCUUACGUACAACACCACAACCAUCAUGUCUGAUCAACUCCAACACCGCACAUGACCAGAGAUUAAAAAAAAAUAUUCAAAUAAAAAACAUCAUUAAUGGUUGGUCUAAAAACUCUUUAGAAACUAUUAAUAAUUCUAAUCUUUGCCACUGCCGAGGGGAAAGGUCAUCCAGCCUAAAGGAGAGUGUAAUCAAGUAGCAGAUGAAUUAGCUUUAGCUAGGAAAAGGUUCAUUCAAUGGUUGGGGGCUUAAGGCAAGCAUAGUACGGGACAUCUUCAAUGCCUUAGACCGUGCUUGCAAGCUCCGCGACUCCAUUGACCAAACGCUCCCCGUCAAACCGUUAUGUGGAUGAUGCUCUAGAAAACAUGCUGAGACGAGCGUAGAGAUAGAGCAAAGCUAAAAAAAGAAGCUUCACUCCUCCCUUUCGCUCCUGGUCACUGGUCAGCAGGGGAUGCUUGCUUCUUCCUCUCCUUUCUUCUUCUCCCUUUUUCUUUCUUUAUUUUCUUUCGACUACCUCUUCGUCUUCCUACUACAAAAAUGGAGGGGCUCAAGGGGGCCUUCAUUGUGUGGGUGGUGGUAAUGAGGCUCAGGGUGAAGGGACUGACUUCUGUUUCUUCCAUCAGGCAUGGAGGACGGAAUGAAGCUCAGGCGGUGACACAUUGGAUGGGGGUGAAAUUUGAAGGGAAAGGCAAUCAUCUUGUCCUUGCGCCACUGAUCUGUUGAUAUGAAUGACACUGAAAGCUUAUCCAGCUCUACAAAUUUGUAACGAGGAACACUCCAAGUGAAUCGAAGUUUCUGUCGCUGGUAAUUCAAUCCAAGCACACCAGAUGUAAUACAACAAUAUAACUUUUUUUACACUGCAAUGUAACUGACAUAGAGAAGAUAUCAGGGUAUCUAAGCAACUGCGAAACUGCAAAGUGUUUUUAAGUCAUAGCAGAUACAACAAGAGCAUCAAAUUCAUGGCAUUGGCUCUGAUGGCCACAUUCAUCCACUUCACCAGAAAAAUUGUGUAGAGCCCAAAGAACUGCUUAUUCUAGAACAAGUCAUGACUAUCAUCACAGCAACUAAAUCUCUAGUUUCCACCUCACCCUGGUUACCACCGUAGCUGUAAACUAUUUCCUCCAUCGACAUAAAGGCGCUGCAAUAUGCAAUCUCAAAUGCAUGAUCAUAGCAACAAAAAUAGGAAAUAAAAACACAGGUGUUUUGUGUCUAGAUGAGAACCCUUCGUUCACUCCAUCACAGCAACACCACCAGCUGCCUUUAUCUUCCCUAUGAUUGCUUCUGCUUCCUCCUUUGUGAGGGAUUGCUUCAGAAUGACAGGUGCCUUCUCCACUAGCUCCUUUGCCUCCUUCAGCCCCAAAUCCGUAAAUGUCCUGAUCUCCUUGAUAAUCUUGAUCUUUGCAGCAGCAUCGAACUUCUCCAACUUGACAUCGAAGACUGUCUUCUCAGCUUUCUUCUCCUCAGCCUUCCCAGCACCAGCCCCAGAACCACCCUGAGCACCAAAACUGAAACCCUGGCCAGAUAUCACCUGUGGCGGUUCUCGGUUCAGUCUGAAGAGAAGGGCUGGAGCAAUCUGUUUGAUCUCCUCAGGAGGGAGAGCAGCGAUGCGGUCAGCUAGAUCCACAACUUUCUCAGAAGCAACCUCGGUGCUGUAUAGAUGACCCCAAACUACUGAAAGACGUCUGCCAGAGGAUGGUUUCGAAAGACAUAGUCGUCGAGCUAUUGUACAGAGACUCAUCCUAAGAUCAGUUAUGUGAGUGCAAUAUUCUCCGCCUGCACCACAACAAACAAGAACCAAUACUAAAUGAGACUCGAAGAAAAAUUUUCAGUGUGGAUUCUGAAUCCAUAAACAAACAUCUUGAAGCACACAUAUAUACAAGCAUGUAUAAACAUGAUAUUAAAUGGGAUCAACUACAGAUAGUUUACAAAGCCAGUACUGCUGGUCUGCUGGGUGGCAUUCCAUUCACACCAAUACAAAGCAUAAUAACUUGUGCCAGAAAUGUCUAUCUUUCAUAUGAAAAUUUUCCCAUCUGGCCUUGUUCGUUUGGCUAGCAGAAAGUAUUAUUGCCUGAUUUAAUGGCUGGCAGAUUCGGCUAAUAGCUCAAGCGAGAGCAGCCUGCUCAAGGUCAUCGAUUCAAGGGCAGGGGCGGAUCCAGUACAGGACAACGGUGGAAAUAUGUGCACCCGAAAAAUACUAAUGCACAAAAACAUAUGCAAAUGCAUGUAGCUGGGUCAGAUCCGGAUACACAGCGUACGGUUUAGGGUUUGGGGUAUUCGGUUUCGCACAGCGGGGCGGAAAGGGACUUGAAGCGAAGGGCUUACCAGAUGGAUGCUCGUCGCCGGUGAAGAGCCCAACGAGGGCGCCGCCGCUCGCCCAGCCGCCGCCAGGAAGCCACGAGACGAGAGAGCGAGGUGGACUGGCAGUGGGAGGGGAACGGGAGAGCCGGAGAGGCAGGUCUGUUAGACCGACUCCUAGCAGGUGAUCGGCCAGCCCAUGUAGGCCCAGUGGGGAAGCAGCGGGCCUAAGUAUACGAGGAGCCCGGAUUGUGAGAAAGAACCAGCCCGCUUCCAUUAUUUUCUACGUAUAUACCUUUUUCUUUGCCC